AACUUUAUUAGUAAUGGUUGUACUAAGUAGCGCCACAGGAGUAGGACUACUGGUGCUAUCACACAUGGAAUGCACACCAUUUUUAAUGUGUGACUUGAACUGUUCGAUGAAAGGUUUGAUCAAUCGAAAUCUGUAAUAGCAAUGAACACAACUUUCUAAAUUGAUUAAAAAGCUUAGCCUAUACUUACGAUAGAACAAGGGAGACCAGAAAUAUUGAUGAAUUGACUUUAACGGACAGGUUCAGAGCAUUGUAUUUGAUUAGGAGAAUGUAGAACAAAUUUAGAGGUUAGAAUUUGAAAUCAGUAUCCAGUGUACAGAUGAAUUUAUUUUGUCAAGUUGAAGAGUAUUAAUGGCCUUGAGAAUUUUACUAUCUAGAACAUGUUGUUAUUUCUUGGUAUAUAUUAAUAAGCUUGCGAUGUGAAUCGUUGAGGCAUUUUGUAAUUAUCAAUUUGAACAUACCAUGUGAAAAAAAAAUUCUGUUGGAUAGUCUGGCAUGUGAAGGAAACAGGACACAAUAAAUGUGGUUAAAACCUGUCAAAAUCAAAACUAUCCGAGUCCCACGACGGUUAUUCAGUCACUUGACUAAACAAACGUCAUUUAUCGAGCCAGUCACCUACCGCUGAAAUAGGUGCGAGGGGGCUGCUCGCGUCAAAGGGAUCGGAUCACGUUCGUAAGGUAUCUGUUCUAAGGGUCGCUAAUCACUAGUGUACAAGUUUUUUUUUCGAAAGACUGUUACAGUCAUGGUGAAAGCAUGGUGGAAGGAUUACACUUGUCUACACUAUUUAUACUAGGAGCUUUUCAUCUACGAAAUCAGUGGACACAGUGCGGCAUAGUCGAAGAGGAUUAGAUAGAGAAAACGGUGCCAUAAGGCCGCAACGUAUUUUUGCGUACACGGCAUUCCCUACUCAUUUCUGCAGCGCCUGUCUCAAGUGGGAGCGUAAACAACAGCCCUCCUCACCCAACUAGACAGAUGAAUUGAAGGAGUGUGGGUUGAAGAAUGAAACCAACGAUGAAGCCAAAAUAUUUGGUUAUCGUAAAAUUAAUUUUUAUUCCAAACAGGUGCAGUGGAUCAAAUAUGAUGCAGACGUUGUGACCAUUCGAUGUAAAUAAAUGAUUAAUCUGCGACUAUUUACUUUUUUUUUUAAAUCUACAAUAUUUAAGACCUUGAUAAAAAAAUUAUAGCUUUCACUAUCAGUGCUAUUAACUUGAGGACUGCAUCCAAUAUAUCAGAGGUUUUGUUAGAAAUACCUUUAGUACGUAAAAACCAGUACCCAACAGCUUCUUUUACAUUUAUAUUCAUAAAUGUAAUCAUACAAUCUAAGGAAGUUUUUGCUGUAUUUAACGUACGAUUCUUACAAUCAUCGUCUACUUCAAUGAAUUUAUCAAUGUUUUCAUCUUAAAUUCUUCUGACGUCAAGAGAAUUUUGUUGAAAAGAAGAGAUCCAACCGGAUAAACUGAAAAUUGUCAUUGAUAUUUGCAUAUUACCUUUAUGGAAGGUAGAGUGAACAUUUUUCGGAGAAACCUACAAACCUUUGAAGUGAUAAAUAAUUGAGAACACGAUAUUAUUGAAUGUUUUGUCGUAUCAAUUGUGAUACUUGCUACUCUUAGCUUAAUGUAGCUGCGUUGCUAACAACAUAUGAGCCUAGAUGAUUUUUUCCUUUUUUUUUUAGAUCUGGUUUUUUUUUGUUGUACCUAGUUUUAGUCUGUUAAUUCUGCUAAACAAUGCAGUUAUCAUUCUUCUUUGAGCAUUGAGGCGCAUUGUUUCUAGUGUUGUCAUUAUCUGUCUUUUGAUAUUCUUACGACUAGGUGUACUAUUAUAUUUAAUUGGCAUCUUGUCAAGUGGUGGUGUCGUGUCACUAAUAUAUGAUGGUCUGUUGUCGCUAAUUGAAGCAUUACACAAGAGUGGUUGUUCAUCCUCUGUUGCAAUAUUGAAACAAAGUGCAGAUGCACGAACAGCCACUGUAGAUAAUGCAGAAACAGCGGCAACAUCCAGAAUAUCAUCUUCGAUCAAAUAUAAAUACAUUUUUCACCGUGAAUACAAUUUUCUUAAUAACUAUGCACAGUUGAAUAAUAUAAACUUAUAAAAUUAAGACACAUAUGAUCAAACAUGUUCUAUCGAAAUUCAUGUAUAAUUAUUUGGAGUGAUAUCACUAGCAUAAUCAAACGCUUGCUUUGUAGCUAAGGUUCGAUUUUAUUUACAUAUGUUCUAAUAUGUAACUAUUGGGUUUUUUGGAUCAUUGAUAAUAUUUACAAUUAUUUUCCUGUUUUCAUCGGAGAUUAUUAUCUGACCUAUGUUAUUGGCGUGAAUAUUGAUUAUUUGUGUUCGUGAGGGUGAUACUUUGCCCUGUUCUGUUGUUUCUGACAAAUGCGACUCUGUAUGAUUAUCUGUAAUUCGGAAUUCCAUCUGCGUCCGUGGGGGUGCUACUCUGUUCUGUUCUGUUGUUUCCGGAAAAUGCGAUUCUGUAUGAUUAUCUGUAAUUCGGAAUUCCAUCUGUGUUCGUGGGGGUGAUACUCUGUUCUGUUCUGCUUCUUCUGGCAAAUGCGAUGCUGUAUGAUUAUCUGUAAUACGGAAGUCCAUCUGUGUUCGUGGGGGCGAUACUCUGUUCUGUUUUGCAGUUUCUGGCAAAUGCGACUCUGUAUGUUUACCUAUAAUUCGGUAUUCCAUAUCAUCACAUAUAAUAACGAAAAAUGCAUUGAUCAAAGUAGAUAAUACAAAAUUUACACACCUUCAACAGAUUUCUGACUAUGUGAUUUUUCGGGCGAUUUUUCGUUUGGUUUAAUGGUUGGUACAGCGUUUUGGACUAACAAAGGCCUUGGAAAUUUCUUUCUAAUCUGGUUAUUGUCAAAAUGGUCUGUACAGAUUCGAAUGCUACCAUAGCAAUUCUUUGGUCCAAGGAAUUUCAACCAUUUUUCACGCCUGUAAACAAAAAAAUGUAUAUGACAGAGAUAUAGUGCGCACUGAUUACACGAUAAGGUGUAAUUGGAUAAGUGCCGCAAAAAAUGAAUCUCAACUUCAAGAGUAAAUAUAUAAUUACAAACUA
rnacentral:lncRNA from 1 species